AUACUUACGAAUGAAUUAUGCUCACAAUAGCACAUUUUGAACUUGUUCUUCAUAAGUAUCCCUCAAUCUUGCUAUACUAAGCUUGUAGUGUGUAUUCCUAGUUGUUACCAUUCUUCUCCUCUGUUGUUGGAUCUCUUGAAAAUUCUAGUUCAUUUUGAACUUCAUCAGCACACUCACUUACCAUACCUUUCGAGUGAUUUUGUUGUCUGCAUUUUCCUCCUACUUUCACACUUAACUUUCAUCAAAUUUGACAUAUCUACUGAUUAUGAUCAUCUUUGCUUUUGAAUCAUAUGUGCGGUAAGCCUU
rnacentral:lncRNA from 1 species